GAUAGGAAGCACAGUGAGAAAACUUACUGGAAGUGUGAAAUAAGAGAAUGUAAAGCCAGACCGCAUACCUUACAAGAAAAUGAUAACAUAUCAGUUUGCAAAUCCUUCAGUUGAUUUGAAGGUGCAGAGUUGAACUCACAUUUCCUGUAGGACUUUGGAACAUCCAUCACCAGACAUGCGACAACAUGCCAAGAAUAAACAAUAGUGUAAAGGCUCCAACUAAGCAACACAAAGCUCAGUUACAAACUUGCAUGCUGGUGUUUGGAAAGUGAUACCUUACUUAAUGAAGGAAGAACUUUUAACAGAAAGGAAAAAUAUGAUGCUGAACAGGGAGAUGAAUUGACAAGCAAAAAUAUAUAUACACAAAGUACGAUGAAUGAAGAAAACAAUUUGGAAGACAAGGGCUUAGGUACAAAAAUUUAGUUAUUUGCAUAGUAUUAACAUAAAUCUACAUACAUUUAAAAUAUAUUCAAAUAUUUUGUAUUUUGCAGUAAAGUGUUUUUAGUUUGGUUAUCCACUUUUUAAGUUCCAGAAUGUCCUUUUUAAUGACCUUCUUUUAUUUUUCAUUAUCUUUCACACAAAAUGAGCAAAAAUGUUUUGCUCUUUCACUAAAGCAAAAUGCUUAUAGUGAAAAUACCAGACUUCAUUCUUCUUCUUCUUUUUUUUUUUUUUUUUUUUUUUUUUUGCUUUUUAGGGCUGCCACCUCAGCAUGUGGACAUUCCCGGGCUAGGGAUUGAAAUUGGAGCUGCACCUGCCAGCCAGCACCAUAGCCACAGCAAUGCCAGAUCCAAGCUACAUCUGUGACCUACACCACAGCUCAUGGCAACGCCAGAUCCUUGACUCACUGCGUGAGGCCAGGGCUCAAACCCACAUCCUCAUGGAUACUAGCAGGGUUCAUAACCCAUUCAGUCAACAUGGGAAGUCCGACCCCAUCACUCUUACAUACUCCACGCCAGGCAUGUAAAAUUCAAUAAUCAUCCUUAGAGUGACAAGAAUCUAUCCACUGCUGUCUCUGAAUGCCAAACCUUUCCUUUCAAAAAUUGGUUGCUGAACUGAUCCAUUUGUCACUAUUCUCUUAAUAUUUCCUUUUUUUGUGCUCUCUACAGCAAACUCUCAAGAUAUACAGAGAUAUGUGCCCAUACAACAACCCAGGGAGGUCUCUGCAGGUACACAGGGAUAAACAGCUCAGCCCAGGAAUGCUGGACCUAACCCUACUCAUGCACAACUGUGCACACAACCCACACACACUCAUACACUCACACACAGUCUUAGUUUCAGAACAUUUGUGGAAAUAAUGCUUUCCCAAGGUUUACUUGUUCAGGAGAACAACUGUAAUGCAUUUUAAAAUAUGAAACAUAGCAAAAUUUUUUCCUGAACUAGUGGCUAAGAAAAUGAUAAAUAUAAGGUAUAACACUGCAUUAGAAAUUCAACUCAUGCAACCCUGGGUAAGAUAAAAAAAUCAGUCUUGAGAAACCAUACACAUUUUUCAAAUUUUCCUUUUCAAUGCACUGCAAAUAAUCCAUUUUCAAUAUACAACAAAUAAUACCUCAUUAGGGGAAAUAAAAAGAAGAGAAGAAAGGUGUACAAGUAGGAGUUGGAGAAACUACAUAGAUAAAAACUUUAAAAAAUACAAUCAUUUCUCUUCUACCCUCUCUGUAAAAUCCAAUCAGCCAAUAAAAAGUGAAUGGUUUUAAAGUGGAAAGUAGAUUGUAAAAGAAGUAUCUCUAUUAUUACUUUCGAAACGUCCAGCCUCCCAUAUUUAUUUCUCUGAUGUGAACGCUACUAUGACAGACACAGCAAUAACACUUGCAGAAUAUAAUAGAGACACCGAGUGAAAUAAUGAAAUUGCAUGCAAAUAGAAUGUCCCCACCAAAGGAAAGUGUCAGGUGAACGGUGACAAACACCAGAAUACUGCUGGCAUUUAGGGAUUAGGAUAAUAUGGAAAAAUAGUGAGGCAAGCAGGAAAAAAAAAAAAAAUAGGUUAGGUAAAUGUGUCCUAGAGAAAGGCUUGUCUGGAAAUUUUACAUUACUCUUUUCAUUUUUCUAAACUACGAAUACAUGGUGGUUUGACUGGGAAAAUGUGUGUGCAUAUUUUUAAUAGGAGGCACUGGUCUACCAUGGAAACGACCCAUCAGGGAACAUAGAAGAAAAGACCAGCUAUACAGUUAAAAUGACCUCAGUGGAGGCUGACACAACGCAGAGGUGAGAAUUCGCUGUGGUCUGUCACGGGUGCCCACUGAGCACUUCCAGAGGACUCUACCCCCACCCCUUACUGGGUAGUGCCUACAUCAAAGGCUCCUGAAUGGUCUUUCUGGGGGAUAUUUAAGCAAAUGAGAAAAAUGUGAAAAUAAAUAUUCAACCUGACUGGAGGGCAGGGAGGUAAAGAAUUUGUGUGCUAAUUCCAAGCUGAGUUGUUCUGGCUCUGUGACUUUGGGCAAGUCUGUGCACCCCCUUAUUUUAUCUGUGAUGACAAUAUACUCCGGAACAUCAAUACAAGGCACAGGAUGCAAAGGAUUUCUUUCUGAGAUGCCCAUCUCCCAACUUCCCUUUCUUCUCAAGGGCUGCCUGGAAUUCUCUGGGCAUCGAUUCAGGGACACACGUGUUUGCACACUGGUAUUCACAAGGUUUUAUAGAAUUUAUUAGAAUCCUUAACUAAGACUCAUAACAAAUAAAAGGAUUUGCUUGAUAAAUAUAAAACUAAUAUAGAGCCCUCAUAUUUAAGAUCCUUUCAAGUACAUUUUCAUAAGCUACAAGACAAGAUUUAAGUAGUUGAUUCCUUUUUCAGAGCGAACUGAUCAGUGUGCUCUCUCCAGAGUCAGGGGCGGCAUGACUAGGCCCUACUAUGGACCUAAUUUCUUUUUACUUCUACUUUCUCUUUAGAUAUUGUUUUUCUUAUGGUUCCAGAGGGCUUUUCUCUUAUCUUUACCAAAUACUUUUAACAGCACUCAGCCAUUUAUGUGUUGUGUGUGUAUGUAUUGGACCAACACCGGUAUUUUCUUACAUUUUUCCUGUGUUAUGACAUUUCUGUUUUUUUAUCUUGUAACUAUUUAUGCCAUUUUCUGUUCUCAGCUUGAAAAUAAUGCUUGGGCUCUGCUCACCAUUUCUAUUGAGAAGCAUGAAACUCACUUGCCCUGGAGUUACACACACAGUCAUAGAUCUGUGACCAAAACCCAUCCGCUGGAGAAUGGAAUGCUUCUGGGGUUUUCUUCCCAAGUAAUUCUUAGCAUGGCUGAAGGCUCUAGUUGUCCCUAAAGAAAUUCUGUCAUCUGGGCUCUGGCAAAGGGCCUCUGUGAAAACACACCCCCAAGGAAACAAACCUGUUCUGCAGGAACUUUCUGGUUUCAGUGGUUUUGAAUAUCCCUGUCACAGCUCAGAGACAGUAGCAACGGGACACAGCAGCCAUUCUUUGUACCUCAAACUCCUCUAUCUGGGCUUUGCUUAUAAAAUAAAAUGCUGAAAUCCAUAAAAUGCUGUAACAUUUGAGUUAUUUUUAAUCUACCACUGGGCUGUGCAGAAUAAAAAUACAGGCAGUGAUGAGGCAACAUACAAUAAAACAGUAUUUUAUUGCUAUAAAACUAGCCUAUGUGAGCCUCACUCUAAAGUCUGUAACUUUAGAAAAUCAACAACAAAGUAUACUACGGAAACUCCCUCUUUUACAUAAUCCUCUUCCUUAGUUAGCGAUUUACUCUUAAAUAUGUAAUAUUACAUACAACUGGGGGAACUGUUAUAAUUUGUAUGGAUGCCCUAAUAUGAUGAGUAUACUGUUUCUCAAUCUUACUUUUUUUUAGCCUUAUUUGCCACCAGAUAUAUAUUUCAUGUUUCUCUGAAGUCUGUACUAUUGUCACGUUUAAUUGUAACACAACUGUUUUUCUCACUUUAGAAUGGGAUUCCAUUUUGUGACUCCAUUUCUGAGUUAACCUUAGUUAAUAUAGAAUCAGGCGUUCAUUAAGCAUAAAAGAAUUAUUAUUCAGUCCAUGGCUCUGAUGAAGAUUGAGAAGCACAAACAACAAAACAAAGCAAUAAUAACAACAAUGAAACAAUGAUAAAGGGCACUAAAAGAUUUAUUUUUAGCGGUGCGCCCGCUGCAACAGACUCCCUUCCUGGUGUUUCAUGGUGGCAACACCACACUGACCCAUUUGUACUAAGAUCCCUUGGCCCCCAAAACAGUAGCAAGAAAUGACCUUGAUUCAACUCUAGAGCACCUAACAAAGACUAACAUUUGAGAGGGAAACUGAAGGAGCCCAUAGUACACACUUGUCUUUCAAAACUCACCUAAAUUUGAAUCAAGAUACUUGAAGUAUUAGCUUCAUUCAUAUUUCAGCGGAGUUAAUUUCUAUUGCUGAGCUUAAUGUCAUGUGAAAUGAUAUGAGACCUGGUAAAGAUGGUUCAACCAAUAUCCUCUGUCAGUCCAGUCAAGAAAUCCUGUGUCACUCACCUAGGCUUCUUCAGUGUGGCCAUUUUCCUGGGCGUGACAAUGCAGGCAAAGUUCUCUUCCCAUUAUCUUCAACAGGAACUGAGGUGAACGCAGACACAUUGUUAGACAGCUCAUCCAUGGAGCUCAUCCAUGGAGUAAAUAAAUGAUAUUGUCUAUCAUUUUUGCAACAAGAUUUUGACUGGAAUUGAGAAUACUUGGAAAUAUUUUCAAGUCUUUAAUACAGUCAAGAAUCCCUUCCCUAAAAACAUAGCUCAAAGAAUUUAUCCUCAGAAUCUAUAGAAAACUAUUAAUUUCAGGUGGAUAAAAGAGUUAAAAGCAAAAUAAAAUGACAAAGUCAUCUUAAAAACCUAAAAGAGGAGUUCCUGUUGUGGUGCAGUGGUUAACGAAUCCGACUAGGAACCAUGAGGUUCCGGGUUCGAUCCCUGGCCUUGCUCAGUGGGUUAACGUUCCGGCGUUGCCGUGAGCUGUGGUGUAGGCUGCAGACGUGGCUCGGAUCUUGCGUUGCUGUGGCUCUGGUGCAGGCCGGUGGCUACGGCUCCAAUUCAACCCCUAGCCUGGAAACCUCCAUAUGCCGCGGGAGCGGCCCAAGAAAUAGCAAAAAAAAAAAAAAAGAACCUAAAAGAAAUUGGAGUUCCUGUCAUAGCUCAGCGGUUAGCAAACCCGACUAGCAUCCACAAGGACAUGGGUUCAAUCCCUGGCCUCGCUCAGUGGGUUAAGGAUCUGGCAUUGCCAUGAGCUGUGGUGUAGGU
rnacentral:lncRNA from 1 species